rnacentral:rRNA from 1 species
UACGGAGGGUGCGAGCGUUAUCCGGAAUCACUGGGCGUAAAGGGCGCGUAGGCGGUUUGUUAAGUCCGAUGUUAAAGACCGAGGCUCAACCUCGAUACGGCGUUGGAUACUGACAAGCUGGACGGUUGGAGAGGAAGGUAGAAUUACCAGUGUAGCGGUGGAAUGCGUAGAUACUGGUAGGAAUACCCAUUGCGAAGGCAGCCUUCUGGACAACACGUGACGCUGAGGCGCGAAAGUGUGGGGAGCAAACCGGAUUAGAAACCCUCGUAGUCC